UCCUGUCUGCAAGCCCCAGCAGGACGAUGUGUCUGGGCUUUAAAUGGAUCUCCUGGGGUCUGAAAAGUAUUAAUCUCCCCGACGAUGCGCACACCCUUUGCCGGGGCAAACACUCCUCAGCAGGCGGGCUCUGACUUUCCAAAAGUUUGGGGUCUUCCGGAAGGAGUUCUGAAACUUUGCACAGGCUCCAGGUUUACCUCUGAUGUGAUUAUACCCUGCAGCCAAGGACUCACCCAGGUGAUUUGUGUCAGUCCCUCUUCUCCACCCCCAUCCCCACCUCCAACAAAGCGAUGCUGAUAACCACUCUCAGUCUCACGGGAACAGAAGGCUGAGGUGGGAACUGAUUGCAGCUUGGGCCCGCCAUUGCCCACAGCAAGCUUCAGAAAGGAAGGGCAUCUCAUUUUGUUUUGCUGUUGUUUUAUUUUCAACAAAAAGGCUCUGUUUAUGGUGAAGUUGGUUUCAAACGACCUUGGAACUCACUGUCACUCGCUCCUCAGCGCCUGAGGAUUAAAGCAGACUGGAAGACUUAGGACUUAGGACGGGGAGAAAUUCGGCCUCCCCCUCUUCCUCCAAUUCUGCUCGGACUUCCCCAGAUGGAAAGCGGGAAGGGGAGUCUGGGAAAAGUGGUCACCUAAGGCAGUGUGGUUCCAAGGCAAAACAUCUGACAAAAUCCACAUUAAGGAAGGAGGGGUGUACUGAGGCUGCAGUCCGUCAUGGCGGGGAAGGUA
rnacentral:lncRNA from 1 species